UCUUUAGAUUAAUAUUUCAAUGUUAGUAAAUAUAUAUGUUUUUUAAUGAAAGUUUUCAUGUUAGGCAUCACUAUGCAACUUGACAUCUUAGCUAAGCUGACACCUUAAGUAACAACAAUCAUCUGCCAUCACAUGAAAAAAAUAUUAUUAAAAAAAGGAAAAAGAAAGAAAAUACAAAAAUAUGGGAGGACUAGACCAAAACCCACAUGUUAACAAAAACGAUACAUAGGUAGACUAUACCCACUACAAGAAAAACUUGAUUUAGCUUCCAAAUUUUUGCGUGGGCCAUUUGCGGACGCUAUUCUCGUCGGCCAAAAUGAGUAAAAGCCCACGCAAGAUUUACAUUGGACGCAAAACGGACGCAUAUAUUGAUUUAAUUUUUUUUUUUAAAAAAAUUUGCAUCGGCCGCGGCCCACGCAUAGGUGUCGGUUUUGUGUCGGCCGCGGCCCACGCAUAUGN
rnacentral:lncRNA from 1 species